CCCCAACUCUUGGCAUCUAACGGCUGUGGCCUUGAGCCAGUCGCUUUACCUCUAGGAGCUUCAGUUUCCUCAUCUGAAAAGCUGGAAAGUCAUGUCCAUCUGGGAGUCAGAGGGGCUGAGUUUCCCUCUUUGAGGAAGAAAGCAAAGUAUUUUCCUGGAUACCAAAUAUGCUGAGUUGGGACACUAGCUGAGGGACGCCUGUCUGUGUAACCCACACACGGGUGGUUGAGAGGAUCAAGGAGAGUAAUGACUGUGGACAUGCUUAGGAGACUGUAAGGUGAGAUACAAACAUCACAAAGCCCUCUCUGCCCUUCCCCCACCUUCUGCCGGUAUGUCUGGUCUACACCUGCUCAGUCAGUCCUUCUUCACCUGUAAACUGUUCCUGUGAACUGCUGUGAGCCAGGCACUGUUGUAGAUGCUGCAGACAGCAUGGUGAGCAAGUCAAACACCUGCCCUCUGGAGUGUGUGUGUGUGUGUGUGUGUGUGUGUGUGUGUCUGUGUGUGUGUGUCUGUGUGUGUGAAAAUAACAAGUAAAAAUAUCUUCCUUUAUUGUAAGUCACCUUGGCACUGGUCUUUUCUUAACUCCCUGGACAUAGUAACAUCUUCCGAUUUUUGAUUUCUAGUCAUUUUUUGUAUUCUCCCCCUGCUUUCCACCAAACUCUAGGACAUGAUAGACGCUGAAUUCAUGCUGGUUUAGUCUUAAUAACUUCUUGUAGCAUCUUAAGUGAGUACCUGUGCUCUUUAGAGUCGGAUUGCUAGAUUCACACACAGUGCUAUUGCUAAUCAGGGCCGACCUCGAGCAGAUUGCUUACCUUCUCUGGGCCUCAGUUUCUUCAUGUGUGAAGUGAGAGAUUGGUUCCAACCUGUGUUGGGCGAUGGAGCCCUUUAAGAAUCUGGUGAGUGGGGCGCCGGGGUGGCUCAGUCGGUUAAGUGUCCGACUUCAGCUCAGGUCAUGAUCUCAUGGUUCAUGGGUUGGAGCCCUGCUUCAGGCUCUG